rnacentral:tRNA from 1 species
UCCUUGGUGUUCCAGUGGCUAAAGCACUUCCAAUGCAGAGGGCCUAGGUUCGAUUCCUGGUCAAGGAA